GUGUGACACUCAAGACAAGCCUUGAAGUAUCUACCACAGACCAGAGAUGCAAGGAAUGCUGAUGUGUUAUUUAGGCCCAGAUGAAUGGGCCUCUUCCCAGCCCUCUCUCAGGCAAACAAUUCAGAAGUGCUUUCACUGUGUAACUAAGAAUAUGGAUGUUGUUGGAUUUUUUAACAUUCAGAAACUACAAACACAACAGAUUGUAGCUGUCUCUUUUUACAUGAGACAAGUUACAUUGUUUAACCAGAGCCUGAUUAGGCAAAUCAAGUGACAUGUGAAUGAGUGGUUGUACUGAAGAGGUAACAUGCUGCACAAGGCAAUGCUUAGAAAUACUG